rnacentral:rRNA from 1 species
AUUGAACGCUGGCGGCAGGCUUAAUACAUGCAAGUCGAGCGAGCGGCGGACGGGUGAGUAAUGUCUGGGAAACUGCCUGAUGGAGGGGGAUAACUACUGGAAACGGUAGCUAAUACCGCAUACCAUCAGAUGUGCCCAUAUGGGAUUAGCUAGUCGGUGGGGUAAUGGAUCACCUAGGCGACGCUCCCUAGCUGGUCUGAGAGGAUGACCAGCCACACUGGAACUGAGACACGGUCCAGACUCCGACGGGAGGCAGCAGUGGGGAAGAUUGGGCAAUGGGCGAAAGCCUGACGCAGCCAUGCCGCGUGUGUGAAGAAGGCCUUCGGGUUGUAAAGCACUGUCAGCGGGGAGGCGUUACUCGCAGAAGAAGCACCGGCUAACUCCGUGCCAGCAGCCGCGGUAAUUC